UGAUUGUGCGGACUCGUGUGCAAGAAAAACUAGGGCUGUGUGGUGUAAAUAACUACAAUUCUCUUAACUCGGUAGCAGUUGCCAACUCAGUCCUUGUACUUUGUUAACAUGAAUCUAUUUCA
ensembl:miRNA